ACAAGAAUUAGGUCAUAAGGUCAGAUCUCACGAUGAAGUAGGACUGACAUUGAGCGAUGUAACAUGAAAGCUUUCUCAAAUAAAAUAUUAUAAAAAUAAAGCGAGUAUAAAUUAAUUGUAUUGCGAUUCAGAUUUAUAAAACGUUGUUUCUUAUAACUUUUGAAAACUAUAUUAACAUGUAGUAUUAUAACAAUAAAAAAAUAGUGGUAUACCGCUUUUUACAAAGAUAGCUUACUUUACUAACUUUUUUACUGUAGAUUUCGGGUAGAUCGACUACUAUAACUUCCGCCCAGCAGCGGUGGCGUUACCAUUGUUAAUGUUCAUCUUCCCAUAUCUCUUAAACUGUUCGUCCAAACAACAUUAUAUUUAAGGAAACGUUUAUUAUCUCGUAAAACGGUGUUGAUGAUUAUACUUGAGUGGGUUCCGUCAAGUUAAAAUAUCAAAACAUGAAAUGAUUUUUUUUUUUUGUAAAACAGAACAAAUCUAUGCCGGAUUUGAAUCUGCAACCCUUGCACGUCAGAUACAAUAUUUUCUUUUUAAGACGCAUGUGACGCAUAAAGAAUAGAUAUAGAUACAGUUAUAUACAUCUUGAACACUUGUAAAAUCGUAUCGUUAUAUAAGGCUUGUUUUUAGGCCUUUGAUCGUUCAUCAUGUUUAUCUAUUAGAGCUUUUGUUACGCAUUAAUUCUAGGUCACUGAAUAAAGGUAAUACAGCUUUAAGUUUUAUUGAUAUACUAGCUGACCCAGCAAACGUUGUUUUGCCAAUAAACUAUUAACUAAUAAUUAUUGCACUGGAAAUUAAUGAUAAAUUUACGAUGAGAGUAAAAUAAACAUGAGAGUUGCACAGAAAAAUUAAAAUAAUACGUAUAACUGUCACUGCUACGAUCGAUACACAAAUAAAACAAAA
rnacentral:misc_RNA from 1 species